GGAAUAUUGCACAAUGGAGGAAACUCUGAUGCAGCGACGCCGCGUGAGUGACGAAGGCCUUCGGGUUGUAAAGCUCUGUUCUUAGGGAAAAAGAAAGUGAUUGUACCUAAGGAGAAAGGACCGGCUAACUUCGUGCCAGCAGCCGCGGUAAGACGAGGGGUCCAAGCGUUGUUCGGAAUUAUUGGGCGUAAAGCGGGUGUAGGUGGCUCUAUAAGUCAGGAGUGAAAUCCCCGAGCUUAACUUGGGAAGU
rnacentral:rRNA from 1 species